rnacentral:rRNA from 1 species
GAUGAACGCUAGCGGCAGGCCUAACACAUGCAAGUCGAGGGGUAGACAUCUUCGGAUGUUGAGACCGGCGCACGGGUGCGUAACGCGUAUGCAAUCUACCUUUUGCAGGGGAAUAGCCCAGAGAAAUUUGGAUUAAUGCCCCAUAGUAUAAUGAUAAGGCAUCUUAUUAUUAUUAAAGUCACAACGGCAAAAGAUGAGCAUGCGUCCCAUUAGCUAGUUGGUAAGGUAACGGCUUACCAAGGCAAUGAUGGGUAGGGGUCCUGAGAGGGAGAUCCCCCACACUGGUACUGAGACACGGACCAGACUCCUACGGGAGGCAGCAGUGAGGAAUAUUGGACAAUGGGCGCAAGCCUGAUCCAGCCAUGCCGCGUGCAGGAAGACGGUCCUAUGGAUUGUAAACUGCUUUUAUACAGGAAGAAACACUCCCUCGUGAGGGAACUUGACGGUACUGUAAGAAUAAGGAUCGUUUCGCCAGUCUGUG